rnacentral:rRNA from 1 species
AACGAACGCUGGCGGCAGGCUUAACACAUGCAAGUCGAACGCCCCGCAAGGGGAGUGGCAGACGGGUGAGUAACGCGUGGGAACAUACCCUUUCCUGCGGAAUAGCCCUGUGAAACUGGAAUCAAUACCGCAUACGCACUACGGGGGAAAGAUUUAUCGGGGAAGGAUUGGCCCGCGUUGGAUUAGCUAGUUGGUGGGGGAAAGGCCUACCAAGGCGACGAUCCAUAGCUGGUCCGAGAGGAUGAUCGGCCACAUUGGGACUGAGACACGGCCCAAACUCCUACGGGAGGCAGCAGUGGGGAAUGUUGGACAAUGGGCGCAAGCCUGAUCCAGCCAUGCCGCGUGAGUGAUGAAGGCCUUAGGGUUGUAAAGCUCUUUCACCGGUGAAGAUAAUGACGGUAGUCGGAGAAGAAGCCCCGGCUAACUUCGUGCCAGCAGCCGCCGUAAGAC